AUUGAACGCUAGCGGCAGGCCUAACACAUGCAAGUCGAACGAGUGGCGGACGGGGGAGACAUGUCUGGGAAACUGCCAGAUGGAGGGGGAUAACUACUGGAAACGGUAGAUACUACCGCCUACCAUCGGAUUUGACCAGAUGGGAUUAGCUUGUAGGUGAGGUAACGGCUCACCUAGGAGACGAUCCCUAGCUGGUCUGAGAGGAGGACCAGCCAAAUGGGAAAUGAGACACGGUCCAGAAUCCUACGGGAGGCAGCAGGGGGGAAUAUUGCACAAUGGGCGCAAGCCUGAUGCAGCAAUGCCGCGUGGAUGAAGAAGGCCUUCGGGUUGUAAAGUACUUUCAGCGGGGAGGCGUUACCCGCAGAAGAAGCACCGGCUAACUCCGUGCCAGCAGCCGCGGUAAUUC
rnacentral:rRNA from 1 species